UGUACAUCGCACUCCCCGCCCCCCUCAGCCUGCACGCCCUGCACGGCAAAUAUAAGAGCCUAGUCGUGCACAUUUGGCCGCUGGAUGCCCCCUGGCCUACCGCACGCCAGCGGGCCCAUGGAGCACUUGGAGCGUUCACUUGGUUCAGAACACUUGGAGCGUUCUUUCCGUUCAUAAGAAGGGGCACGACGCCGUGCCAGGAGGGGCACGACGCUGGGGUCGAGAGCCCGCCCAGCCCCCGAGCUGACGUGCGUCUGCCAGCCCUGCCCCCGCCGCAUCUGUGGGUGUGGGGCGCCCGGCCCGGCAGCUGUGAGGCCAUCGCCCGGGCCAUCAACAAAGUCGCCCCACACACCAAAAGACUGGAGAGCAUAAGGCUGUACCGCUCCAAGCUGGGAGAGGAUGAGCUGCGGCAACUGCUGGAGGACCUGCAGCGCGAAGGAGUCCGCAGUGGCGCCGCUGGCAACACG